AUACCUAAAACGUUGCUUCGGCGGGAACAGACGGCCCUGUAACAACGGGCCGCCCCCGCCAGAGGACCCCUAACUCUGUUUUUAUAAUGUUUUUCUGAGUAAACAAGCAAAUAAAUUAAAACUUUCAACAACGGAUCUCUUGGCUCUGGCAUCGAUGAAGAACGCAGCGAAAUGCGAUAAGUAAUGUGAAUUGCAGAAUUCAGUGAAUCAUCGAAUCUUUGAACGCACAUUGCGCCCGCCAGUAUUCUGGCGGGCAUGCCUGUUCGAGCGUCAUUACAACCCUCAGGCCCCCGGGCCUGGCGUUGGGGAUCGGCAGAAGCCCCCUGUGGGCACACGCCGUCCCUCAAAUACAGUGGCGGUCCCGCCGCAGCUUCCAUUGCGUAGUAGCUAACACCUCGCAACUGGAGAGCGGCGCGGCCAUGCCGUAAAACACCCAACUUCUGAAUGUUGACCUCGAAUCAGGUAGGAAUACCCGCUGAACUUAAGCAUAUC
rnacentral:misc_RNA from 1 species